rnacentral:rRNA from 1 species
AUUGAACGCUGGCGGCAGGCCUAACACAUGCAAGUCGAACGGUAACAGGAAGAAGCUUGCUUCUUUGCUGACGCGUGGCGGACGGGUGAGUAAUGUCUGGGACACUGCCUUAUGGAGGGGGAUAACUACUGGAAACGGUAGCUAAUACCGCAUAACGUCGCAAGACCAAAAAGGGGGACCUUCGGGCCUCUUGCCAUCGGAUUUGCCCAGAUGGGAUUAGCUAGUAGGUGGGGUAACGGCUCACCUAGGCGACGAUCCCUAGCUGGUCUGAGAGGAUGACCAGCCACACUGGAACUGAGACACGGUCCAGACUCCUACGGGAGGCAGCAGUGGGGAAUAUUGCACAAUGGGCGCAAGCCUGAUGCAGCCAUGCCGCGUGUAUGAAGAAGGCCUUCGGGUUGUAAAGUACUUUCAGCGGGGAGGAAGGGAGUAAAGUUAAUACCUGUGCUCAUUGACGUUACCCGCAGAAGAAGCACCGGCUAACUCCGUG